UGACAAGCUCUAAUCCAAUGAGAUACUUUGUCUCAGAUAGAUAGAUAGAUAGAUAGAUAGAUAGAUAGAUAGAGAUAAAUGAUAGGUGAUAGAUGGUAGAUAGAUAGGUGAUAGAUGAUUGAUAGAUAAGUAGAUGCUAGAUUGAUAAAUAGAUGAUAGAUAGAUAGAUAGAUAGAUAGAUAGAUAGAUAGAUAGAUAGAUGAUAGAUAGAUAGAUAGAUGAGAGAUAGAUAAAUUUUUAGAUAAAUGAUAUAUCACUGUCACCUUUAGCUUUUCAAUGCCUUCAGCCCUUGCCAUACAGAACAAG
rnacentral:lncRNA from 1 species